rnacentral:rRNA from 1 species
AUUGAACGCUGGCGGCAGGCCUAACACAUGCAAGUCGAGCGGAUGAAGGGAGCUUGCUCCUGGAUUCAGCGGCGGACGGGUGAGUAAUGCCUAGGAAUCUGCCUGGUAGAGGGGGAUAACGUCCGGAAACGGGCGCUAAUACCGCAUACGUCCUGAGGGAGAAAGUGGGGGAUCUUCGGACCUCACGCUAUCAGAUGAGCCUAGGUCGGAUUAGCUAGUUGGUGGGGUAAAGGCCUACCAAGGCGACGAUCCGUAACUGGUCUGAGAGGAUGAUCAGUCACACUGGAACUGAGACACGGUCCAGACUCCUACAGGAGGCAGCAGUGGGGAAUAUUGGACAAUGGGCGAAAGCCUGAUCCAGCCAUGCCGCGUGUGUGAAGAAGGUCUUCGGAUUGUAAAGCACUUUAAGUUGGGAGGAAGGGCAGUAAGUUAAUACCUUGCUGUUUUGACGUUACCAACAGAAUAAGCACCGGCUAACUUCGUG